rnacentral:rRNA from 1 species
GACGAACGCUGGCGGCGUGCUUAACACAUGCAAGUCGAACGGAAAGGCCCUGCUUUUGUGGGGUGCUCGAGUGGCGAACGGGUGAGUAACACGUGAGUAACCUGCCCUUGACUUUGGGAUAACUUCAGGAAACUGGGGCUAAUACCGGAUAGGAGCUCCUGCUGCAUGGUGGGGGUUGGAAAGUUUCGGCGGUUGGGGAUGGACUCGCGGCUUAUCAGCUUGUUGGUGGGGUAGUGGCUUACCAAGGCUUUGACGGGUAGCCGGCCUGAGAGGGUGACCGGCCGAAAUGAGAGGGAGAGACGGCCAAGACGGAUACGGGAGGAAGCAGGGGGGAAGAGUGGAGAAUGGGGGAAAGCCUGAUGCAGCAACGCCGCGCGCGGGAUGACGGAGUUCGGGUUGUAAAGCGCAUGUAGUAGGGAAGAAAGGCUGCGGCUUGACGGUACAUGCAAAAAAAGGACCGGCUCACUACGUG